UCUCUAGCCUUCCCGGCUCGAUAAAACGAAGAGAGACGCGAGAAAAGGAAACAUUUUCAGUAGUUCAUUCAAGCGUGUCCUUUACAAUCGAGAGACUUGCCCUUAAAUAGACAAGUGAUCGAGAAAGUGAGCUUAAAGUUGCCCUAGACACGUGGGUCUUUAAGCUCCACACAAAGGAAAAGUGUGAAAGCGCGUUUUCUAACGUCUCUCUCGGUCAAAAGUAAAAGGAUCGAGAAAUUCUCGAUAAAAAGGUAAAAGGAUCGAGAAAUUCUCGGUAAAAAGUGAAAUGACCAAGAAUUCUUCGAGAAAAUAGAAAUGGAUCGAUAAGGAUCGAUGGAGAAGGCUUUAUUGAAGAUGGAUGCCUUCUUGGAGAUAGGAUCUUCACUUCCUCGGCUCCGGAGCUUGUCUACUAACGUUUCAAAGUCGUGAGUCGAGUGGGAUCGAAGUGGAGAUGCAUUAGACUUGCUGCCUCGUUAAAACCCCUUCGGUAAACCCAUUGGGACAAAUCCGAAGUUGGGAAAAAGAAUACAGCUCACCUAACGUCUUAGGGAUGCCAUCACUCGGACGUGGAGGUGAAGGCACUCGAGCUAAGCUUCCCAAAGCUUGUCUUGAUCGAAGGUUCCUCGGUGGUGAUGCGUUCCACGAACCUUCGGUGAGAAUGGUUGAAGCUCGGCUUGUCGAAAGGUUGAACGUUGAAAAAGAUCAUGAAAUGACCUCGCCUUGCUCCUCUUGAUGAUCCUUGAAGUCAUCUUGAAGUGUUGAGGCUGAAUCGUUGUCGUCGGGAUGAUCUUGUUGAAGACUUUGCCCGAACGAUUGAUAGACGCGGCCGACCGGAUGGUGCUCUCGGACGGACGGACGACGGCCUUGGUGACUCGAUGUCUGAGGACGCAUCAUUCCCUCCCUCUUAUUGAAGUUUUGACCUCAAAACGUAGCUUAUUACCUGGAUCAAAAAGAAACCACAUCAGCAGCAUCAAAAAGGAAGCUACAAAUCAAUAUACCGGGAUCGAAUGGAAAAAUUGAAGUUCUAAGUAAAAAGACUUGAACUUCCCCGGUGAAGCUGGUGGCAUUGGUAGCUUCUUCCAAAGCAUUGGAGGCUGGUUGAAACUCUCCAGGAUGCCACACAUAGGAUUGGAUCACACCAAAGUAGCAAAAGAUCUUGGCCGAGACCCCUUUAGCGAAUUCGGCCUUGGUGCGUCGGUUGGGAAAGGUGGGUACUGUCUCGGCAACUCGCAGCUGGAGCAUAUACUUCACGAUGGCUGGUUGAAAGAGUAUUGAAGCGAUUGGACCAUCAGCUGUCCUCUCGGGUGGGUGCAUACGCCUUACACGCCCAUAUGUCGAAUGAGGAAACACCUCUCGAUCAACUCUCAAAUGAGAUCGAUAACCACUUGAUCUGCCAUGUACCAUAUGCCCAAAAUGCCUCAGUAUUGAGUGGAAACGGAAACCCAUAGUCAAAAUGUGACUGAAAUCCAGAAAGAUCGACUGCUCCACUCCCGGUACGUCUCCGGGAAGCAUAACUCGACUAACUCCAAAGGAAUUUGGUCCAUUUGAACUUCUGCUUCGACUCAAUUCAUCUAAAGACAUGGUUUUCGAGUGACUUUCGAAUCCCAUAGUCAAUAGACGAGUAGAACUCAAUCUGGUUGGCUUCUCCACUCGUUGCUCGUCUCCGGGUUGAGUAUCUCGAUCAACUUCAACAGAAACUGAUCCACUCAACAUUCUGCUUCGACCAGAAUCAUUUAAAUGCAUGGGUUUCGAGUGAUUUUCGAAUCCCAUGGCCAAAUGAUCAGGAGAACUCAUUCUGGUCGAUGACUCCUCUUGGUGAACGUUGCCGGAUGCGCUAACUUCGACUUCGGCUGGCUGGACUGGGUUGUCUUUGGUUCUUCCUGAACCAAUGACAUCUUCCGGACUGAUUUGUUGAUCCGGUGGUGAUGAUGUACGGUGUUGGCGCUUUGAUGCUACUUCCCGAGCAUACCAUUCUUCAAUAAGUUGAAGUUUGGAUUCGAGAGAAUCGAACGAAUCCCUUAGACCCGCUACUUCGGAAGUAAGCACCAACUUCUUCGGAGAUCGAUUUCUUACGACCUCAUGACCAAAGCUCAAGUCAUCACUAUCGGACUCAUCUUCAUAUAACCUUGUCUGUGGCUCAUGUUGGCGAAUGGCUUGUUAUGAUGAUGGGCAAUAACCCGAGGAUACAUACUUGGUUGGCUCUUGAUCCGGGUUGCUGUCAUAGCCUUCAUCAUGCCAUGGUUCAUCCUCUUGAUCGACAUGGUGGUCGUACUCACGCCAAGAAUCAUCGUCGGAGUCGACCCGGAUAUAUCCCAUACUUUGAUCGAUGUUGAAUGGUGUCGAUCACAACAUUGGAAUGCUCUCGGUCGAUGGUACGGACGAAUUGUACGGAUUUCCGGCGAGUACGGACGGCUGGUCGAUGUUCGUGCUCGGUACGGACGGCUGGUCGAGGAUCGGCUGUCGGUACGGACGGAUGGUCAGUACGGACGAUCGGCGACGAACGGCUGUCGAUACCACUGAUGAUCGCUGGUACGGGUGAUCGGGUGCGACAGUGGACAACUGUCGGGUGCGAGAGAGAUGGUAGGAUCGGACUCCGGCAGCGACUGCGGUUUGUCCGGUCACCGAUGGAUUGUUCGGUGGAGUACCUCGCAAGACACAAGAAAAGAAAAGAGAGAUUAGAUACAAGAUCAAGGGAUCAAAGCAUUAAUCUCAAAAGCAAAAAGGAAAAGCAAAAGCAAUAAAGCAAAAACCAAAAGAAGAACAAGACAAAACAAUUAAGACCACACAACAAAAGCUAGGACUUAAGACCACACAAAAAUUCAAAAGUGGAUUUGACCAACUUUGAAUUCAAAAGGAAUGGCUAGAAAUUAAAGAGCAAAAAGCAAGUGGUAGAAACCAAAUGACUUUUACCCUUGUAAUUUUACCAAGCAAAAGCAAAACACACAAAGAAGCAAAAAGGGACGCAAGACAAGAUCUAACACCCUAUAACACAAAAACGAAAAGCAAAGACCCUAAGAACAGAUCUAGCAACAACUAAGCAAGAACAAAAAGAACUCUCGCAAGAAACACAAAAUCGCACAAAAUUCUCGAUGAGAGAUGCAAGAAUGCAAAUCUCUCCGAAAAUUUUCGAAACGAUGCAAGAUCGAUCGAGAAACUCGACAGAUCUAGACUCAAACAACCAAAAGACAGCUAGACUCAAACUAUUGCUCGACAAAAUUACCAGAAAUUUUCAAAAUUCUUGACGAAGGAUGCAAAGGUGCAAACUUUACCGAGACUUUUGACGACAACACAAGAUCGAUCGAGAAACUCGAAAGAUCUAGAACACAAACAAAGCAAUAAACAAGCUAAGACUCGACAAAAAUACCAGAAAACAAGCAAAGACUCGAUACAGCAAACAAAAGAUCGAGAAAAUAUGCAAAGAUGCAAACUUUAUCGAAAAUCUUUUGAGAGCGAUGCAAAGAAUCGGAAAACUCACUCGAUCUAGAUGCAAAAAAACGAGUUUAACAGAUCUAAGGUGGAAGAGAUGCAGGCGGAAGCAUAAAAUACGACAAGACUCGAAACAAGAUGCAAAAAUACGAUUUUUAUGGGGUUUUUCUCGAUAAAACAUGCAAGUGCGCAGAAAAGACUCGAUAAAAACGAUAGAGGAUACAUACAACCUAACACGAUAGAACCUGGCUCUGAUACCAGUUGAUGAACCCCCGGGUGCGAUGGAUAUGAUCGAUGCACGUUCGGUGGUCGUUGACUGGGCUCGACAAACCGUUGGAGCCUUCGAUGGAAGGUUUGGGGAUGGAGAGUACCCUUCGUACAAAUGAAGGAAUACUCGGGCUGGGUGUGUGUGGAUCGAGUGACGACACGUGAGCUAUGGAACGAACUCACGAUACGGUCGACUUGAAGAUUAACGAAAUCCGGUUCGAGAAUCUUCAAGGGUUUUCGAUCUCUAGCCUUCCCGGCUCGAGAAAACGAAGAGAGACUCGAGAAAAGGAAACAUUUUCAGUAGUUCAUUCAAGCGUGUCCUUUACAAUCGAGAGACUUGCCCUUAAAUAGACAAGUGAUCGAGAAAGUGAGCUUAAAGUUGCCCUAGACACGUGGGUCUUUAAGCUCCACACAAAGGAAAAGUGAGAAAGCGCGUUUUCUAACGUCUCUCUCGGUCAAAACUAAAAGGAUCGAGAAAUUCUCGAUAAAAAGGUAAAAGGAUCGAGAAAUUAUCGGUAAAAAGUGAAAUGACCGAGAAUUCUUCGAGAAAAUAGAAACGGAUCGAUAAGGAUCAAUGGAGAAGGCUUUAUUGAAGAUGGAUGCCUUCUUGGAGAUAGGAUCUUCACUUCCUCGGCUCCGGAGCUUGUCUACUAACGUUUCCAAGUCAUGAGUCGAGUGCGAAGUGGAGAUGCAUUAGACUUGCUGCCUCGUUAAAACCCCUUCGGUAAACCCAUUGGGACAAACCCAGAGUUGGGAAAAAGAGUACAGCUCACCUAACCUCUUAGGGAUGCCUUCACUUGGACGUGGAGGUGAAGGCACUCGAGCUAAGCUUCCCAAAGCUUGUCUUGAUCGAAGGUUCCUCGGUGGUGAUGCGUUCCACGAACCUUCGGUGAGAAUAGUUGAAGUUCGGCUUGUCGAAAGGUUGAACGUUGAAGAAGAUCAUGAGAUGACCUCGCCUUGCUCCUCUUGAUGAUCCUGAAGUCGUCUUGAAGUGUUAAGGCUGAAUCGUUGUCGUCGGGAUGAUCUCUUUGUUGAAGACUUUGCCCGAACGAUUGAUAGACGCGGCCGGCCGGAUGGUGCUCUCGGACGGAUGGACGACGGCCUUGGUGACUCGAUGUCCGGG
rnacentral:lncRNA from 1 species